CUGUUAGUGGCGGACGGGUGAGUAACGCGUGGGUAACCUGCCGUAUACUGGGGGAUAACACUUAGAAAUAGGUGCUAAUACCGCAUAAGCGCACAGCUUCGCAUGAAGCGGUGUGAAAAACUCUGGUGGUAUACGAUGGUUCCGCGUCUGAUUAGCUAGUUGGUGGGGUAAUGGCCUACCAAGGCAACGAUCAGUAGCCGGCCUGGGAGGGUGAACGGCCACAUUGGGACUGAGACACGGCCCAAACUCCUACGGAAGGCAGCAG
rnacentral:rRNA from 1 species